GUACACUCCUACGGGAGGCAGCAGUGGGGAAUAUUGGACAAUGGGCGCAAGCCUGAUCCAGCCAUGCCGCGUGAGUGAUGAAGGCCCUAGGGUUGUAAAGCUCUUUCACCGGAGAAGAUAAUGACGGUAUCCGGAGAAGAAGCCCCGGCUAACUUCGUGCCAGCAGCCGCGGUAAUACGAAGGGGGCUAGCGUUGUUCGGAAUUACUGGGCGUAAAGCGCACGUAGGCGGAUCGAUCAGUCAGGGGUGAAAUCCCAGGGCUCAACCCUGGAACUGCCUUUGAUACUGUCGAUCUGGAGUAUGGAAGAGGUGAGUGGAAUUCCGAGUGUAGAGGUGAAAUUCGUAGAUAUUCGGAGGAACACCAGUGGCGAAGGCGGCUCACUGGUCCAUUACUGACGCUGAGGUGCGAAAGCGUGGGGAGCAAACAGGAUUAGAAACCCGUGUAGUCCC
rnacentral:rRNA from 1 species